rnacentral:lncRNA from 1 species
AAAUUCCCUUUUUUGAUAUGAAUCUGAUUAAGUCACAAAAAUAUAUUUUGCUUUAUAUAAAUAAAUACAUAGAUUAAUGACUUCAAAUUUAAUUUUUAAUGACUGAUAUUUAAGGGGAAGAGAAAGCACUGAUAGAAAUUACUUAAUCACAGCGGAGACAUUUUUGUGUCUGCCUUUGAGUCAGAACUCUUGCCAGUGAUUACAAAUUUCAUUCAUUUUCCUUGUGAAGUGAACGUCAGAUACAUGUUUUUGGUGGUCUUAUAUUGGUGUUUAGAUAUAGAUGAUAUAAUGCUUGUAGUGGCAUAUAUUCAUUCAAUGGGGUCAAAUAGUGAUCCCUUUAUACCUUUUCUCUUUACUUGUAAUACUUGCAAUUGGUUGCUUUUUGUUGUAUGUUGAUCAUUGUCAUUUUGCUUAGUUUCUUGUGUCUGUUACCUAUUCUUUUAAACUGAGUUUACUGUCCUUAAUGCUGUAUGUUUAUUCACUCCACAUUGUCCAGAGGUAUGGGAUGAGGUUGAGAUCUCAUAAAACAUGUUUAACCCUGCCACAAGUCUGAAACCUCUAGCCUUUGUCUUGUGUUUUUUUUUAUUUGUAUGUUUCUGAGUUUAGUAUGGCAUCCAUUCUACUAUUUGUGUACAAUUUUGUUUAGAGGCUAGCUGAAUUUAAACUCAAGGUGCUGGAUUUUCUUGUUGCGUUGAAGACCCAUUUGUGGCCUAUAGAUGUUUUCUGCUCUUUGGACCGUGUUUUUCUCUUUGAAACAUUCACCUUAUUCACUCUUUAUUCUAUUAUACUUUGUACUAUCAAUUUUGUGUAAUAACAGUAAGCAUACUUUAAUGAUAAUAUAAAAAGCAAUGCCAGUAUUUAUAUAUACUAGUACAUGUUUCACUUAUUUGCUUUCUAGACUAGACUAGGAAGGCAAAAUCAGUG